GGCCUAUAAGCAUUUUAGAUGCAACUGGUUUCGACCCAGAAGAGAAAUGGAAACAUUAUAGGUUG